rnacentral:tRNA from 1 species
GGUAAGGUGGCUGAGUAAUUUAAGCGUUGGGCUGUAGACCUUUUUACAGAGGUGCAAUUCCUCUUCUUAUCA